AGCAGGGCAGAGUCCAGCUCCAGUGUGAGUUCACUGUGAAGAAAAAUCUUCCCAGAGAGCUGUUUGUUGUAUAAGGUUUCAGUCCAUGGUUGGUAGAAGAGAGCAGUGGAGGAAUGCUUCUCACUUUGGGGUAGCCAGGAAACAGAGAGAUGGAACAAACCAGAGAGAGAAGAAAGGCCUGUGAUGGCCUGCAUCCUUUGAAAGCAUGACCCCAGUGACUUGCUUCCUCUGACCAGGCCCCAUCUUCUAGUAGCCCAUUCAGACUGGUGUUGACUGCAGGUAGCUGAAACUGCAGAAAAUGAAACCAUGGAUAAGGAGAGCUGCUGUGUUGGAGGCAUCUGGAGAUUGCCAUGGGAAGCAACUCCCUGCAAGAAAGGCUGAUAUUCAGAUACAACCGGAUAUGUCUCUAGACAUUGCCAGUGACCAGAGGUUGAGAUGGGAAGAGUCACUGGCCAAGACUGCUGAAUUUAAGACUAAAGAAUAAACCAGAGGGACUCACAUCCUAGUUCUACCACCUACUAGCUCUUUGAUCUUAGGCUCAUGUGCAGGGAAAUUGCUCCCAGGGUGGCAAUAUUGGAAGAUGGUGUGGCUCUUUAUGAGGUGGGGCUCAGUGAGAGGUCCUCAGGUUAUUGUAGGCGUGGCCUCAGAGGAAUUGUGGGUCCUCAGUCUGUCUCUGCUGAGAUGCAUCUCAGCUCACUCUGACCUUGGCUUCAGCCAGGGCCAUCCUCCAUCUGCCUCACCAGAACUGAUGCAGGCGCCAGACCCAUUCACCUCCCAAAUGUGUUGCUGUGGCAACCAGCACUGCACAGAUGUAGCCUGAACACACCUCCUUCAGCGGCACCAGUGUCUCUUCUGUGCCCCAGGCUCCUCCACCAGUGCAAUGUCGGAUGACUGGGAGAGCCUGCUUGGCAGUGCAGACGUGUAUGAACUGGAGAUGCUGAGGAGUUCACGAGCAGCCUGGGGCAGCUGUGGACCUGUGCAGGUUGGGAGCAUUGGUUAGAUCACUCCCCUUGGGAGUGGAGGUGAAUUCUAGAUGGCUCCUUAGAGUGAGACCAAGCCCCUUUUAUCCUAAGCGCACAAUCAACUUGCAGGCCUCUCUGGGUUGGCCCUCCCUCUCCAGUUUUGUUCAGUGGGAUCACUUCCCAAAAUAAACUAACACAUGUGCCAUAUAACAAUGUUUUGUUCAGUGAUGGCUGCAUAGAUAAUGGUGGCCUCAUGAGAUCAUGAGGCUGAAAAUUCCUGUUGUCUAGUGACGUCAUAGUGCAUGCAUUUGUCAUGAGUUCAUGGUGAGGUUGAUUUCAACACAACUUCUGCACUCCCAGUCCCCUAAAAGUAUAGCACAUGCAGUUAUGUGCAGUACACAGUACUUGAU